GUUGGCCUCGGAUCAGGUGGGGAUACCCGCUGAACUUAAGCAUAUCAAUAAGCGGAGGAAAAGAAACCAACAGGGAUUGCCUCAGUAACGGCGAGUGAAGCGGCAACAGCUCAAAUUUGAAAUCUGGCUCACGCCCGAGUUGUAAUUUGUAGAGGAUGUUUCGGGUGAAGCCGCGGUCCAAGUCCCUUGGAACAGGACGUCAUAGAGGGUGAGAACCCCGUACCUGGCCGCCGGUGCCCCCCGCUGUGAAACUCCUUCGACGAGUCGAGUUGUUUGGGAAUGCAGCUCUAAAUUGGUGGUAAAUUCCAUCUAAAGCUAAAUACCGGCCAGAGACCGAUAGCGCACAAGUAGAGUGAUCGAAAGAUGAAAAGCACUUUGAAAAGAGAGUUAAAAAGUACGUGAAAUUGUUGAAAGGGAAGCGCUUGCGGCCAGACUUGCCCGCGGUUGCUCAGCCCGCCUUUUGGCGGGUGUACUCUUCCGCGGUCAGGCCAGCAUCGGUUUGGGCGGUCGGAUAAAGGCGUUGGGAACGUGGCCUCCCCUCGGGGAGGUGUUAUAGCCCGGCGCGCAAUGCGACCAGCCCGGACCGAGGUUCGCGCUUUGCUAGGAUGCUGGCGUAAUGGCCGUAAGCGGCCCGUCUUGAAACACGGACCAAGGAGUCUAACAUCUAUGCGAGUGUUUGGGUGUCAAACCCGUGCGCGUAAUGAAAGUGAACGGAGGUGGGAACCGCAAGGUGCACCAUCGACCGAUCCUGAUGUCUUCGGAAGGAUUUGAGUAAGAGCAUAGCUGUUGGGACCCGAAAGAUGGUGAACUAUGCGUGAAUAGGGUGAAGCCAGAGGAAACUCUGGUGGAGGCUCGCAGCGGUUCUGACGUGCAAAUCGAUCGUCAAAUUUGCGUAUAGGGGCGAAAGACUAAUCGAACCAU
rnacentral:rRNA from 2 species